UACGGGGGGGGUAAGCGUUGUUCGGAAUUACUGGGCGUAAAGGGCUCGUAGGCGGCCAACUAAGUCGGACGUGAAAUCCCUCAGCUUAACUGGGGGAACUGCGUCCGAUACUGGAUGGCUUGGAUUUGGGAGAGGGAUGCGGAAUUCCAGGUGUAGGCGGUGAAAUGCGUAGAUAUCUGGAGGAAUACCGGUGGCGAAGGCGGCAUCCUGGACCGACAUUGACGCUGAUGAGCGAAAGCUAGGGGAGCAAACGGG
rnacentral:rRNA from 1 species